rnacentral:rRNA from 1 species
AUGGCCUAACGGCUGACGCAGCGACGCCGCGUGUGGGAUGAAGCUCUUCGGAGUGUAAACCACUUGUUGCCCGGGACGAACAGCUCGAUUUUUCGAGCCUGACGGUACCGGGUGAGGAAGCACCGGCUAACUCCGUGCCAGCAGCCGCGGUAAUACGGGGGGUGCGAGCGUUGUCCGGAAUCACUGGGCGUAAAGGGCGCGUAGGUGGUUUGAUAAGGGUGUGGUGAAAGUCCGGGGCUCAACCCCGGAUCUGCCGUGCCGACUGUCAAACUCGAGGGCUGUAGAGGCAGACGGAAUUCCGGGUGUAGCGGUGGAAUGCGUAGAGAUCCGGAGGAAGACCGGUGGCGAAGGCGGUCUGCUGGGCAGUUUCUGACACUGAUGCGCGACAGCGUGGGGAGCAAACAGGAUUAGAUACCCUGGUAGUCCACGCCGUAAACGAUGGGUACUAGGUGCCUGGGGGAGCGACCCUCUGGGUGCCGGCGCUAACGCAGGAAGUACCCCGCCUGGGGAGUACGACCGCAAGGUUGAAACUCAAAGGAAUUGACG